GCCUGGGGGGCUCAGUCGGUUGAGCGUCUGACUUCGGCUCAGGUCAUGAUCUCGCGGUCUGUGAGUUCGAGCCCCGCGUCGGGCU
rnacentral:tRNA from 1 species